rnacentral:rRNA from 1 species
AGAGUUUGAUCCUGGCUCAGGACGAACGCUGGCGGCGUGCUUAACACAUGCAAGUCGAGCGAGAGCCUGGGGGCUUGCCCCCAGGGGACAGCGGCGAACGGGUGCGUAACACGUGGGCAACCUGCCCCUCUCUCUGGGAUAACCCCGGGAAACCGGAGCUAAUACCGGAUACUCCGGCUGGAUCGCAUGGUCCGGCCGGGAAAGGUCCGCCGGAGAGGGAUGGGCCCGCGGCCUAUCAGCUUGUUGGUGGGGUCAUGGCUCACCAAGGCGACGACGGGUAGCUGGUCUGAGAGGACGACCAGCCACACUGGAACUGAGAUACGGUCCAGACUCCUACGGGAGGCAGCAGUGGGGAAUAUUGCGCAAUGGGCGAAAGCCUGACGCAGCGACGCCGCGUGGGGGAUGAAUGCCUUCGGGUUGUAAACCCCUUUCGGCAGGGACGAAGCGAUCGUGACGGUACCUGCAGAAGAAGUCCCGGCUAACUACGUGCCAGCAGCCGCGGUAAGACGUAGGGGACGAGCGUUGUCCGGAUUCAUUGGGCGUAAAGCGCGCGUAGGCGGUUGCGCAAGUCGGUUGUGAAAAUCCGGGGCUCAACCCCGGACCUGCAUCCGAUACUGCGUGACUAGAGGUAGGUAGGGGAGAUCGGAAUUCCUGGUGUAGCGGUGAAAUGCGCAGAUAUCAGGAGGAACACCGGUGGCGAAGGCGGAUCUCUGGGCCUUACCUGACGCUCAGGCGCGAAAGCUAGGGGAGCGAACAGGAUUAGAUACCCUGGUAGUCCUAGCCGUAAACGUUGGAUGCUAGGUGUGGGGGGACAUCGACCCCUUCCGUGCCGAAGCUAACGCAUUAAGCAUCCCGCCUGGGGAGUACGGCCGCAAGGCUAAAACUCAAAGGAAUUGACGG